UGAGACUUUGAGGCCAUUUUCAGUUUGUAUUAAAGGUUCAUAAGAAAUACAAUGCCUUGGGUGGGAGGGAUAGCUCAGCUGUGAAAGGCUAGGCUCACAACCAAAAUAUA
rnacentral:miRNA from 1 species